UAUUUUAAAAAAAAAAAAUUCUCCGGUUCAAAUGUUUUUAAAUUGCUGUGGUAUUUUGACUAUACAAAGGUAUUGAAAUAAGACUUUAAUUGAGUGCUAAGAGAAUGGAAUUUCAUAAAAUUUCUUUUUUAAUUUUAAAAAUUGAAAUUAAUUUUAUAUGUGAAGAAACAAUAAUAAAAAUUAAGGACAAGAAGACCCUAAGAAUUUUAAAGAAUUCAAUAAAAUACAAAAUUUUAUUGAAUUCUUUUAAUUGGGGCGAUUAUUAAAUAUUAAAAACUUUAAUUUUUUUAAAAAAGAACCAAUAAUAUUGGUUAUUUGAAAAAAUACUCUAGGGAUAACAGCGUAAUAAUUUUUGAUAGUUCUUAUAGACAAAAUAGUUUGCGACCUCGAUGUUGGAUUAGGACUCUUUUUUAAUGAAGAAGCAAAAGAAGAAGUUGUCACUUAUC
rnacentral:rRNA from 1 species